rnacentral:rRNA from 1 species
ACUCAAUAGAUACCCAGGUAGUCCCAGCAGUAAACGGUGCGCGUUUGGUGUGAGCAGAUUCGACUCUGUUCGCGCCGGAGCUAACGCGUUAAACGCGCCGCCUGGGAAGUACGAUCGCAAGAUUAAAACUCAAAGAAAUUGACGGGGGCCCGCACAAGCGGUGGAGUAUGUGGCUUAAUUCGAUGCAACGCGAAGAACCUUACCUGGGUUUGACAUGCAUCUCUAAGGAGGUGAAAGCUUCCGAGGGUAGCAAUACCCGAUUUGCACAGGUGCUGCAUGGCUGUCGUCAGCUCGUGUCGUGAGAUGUUGGGUUAAGUCCCGCAACGAGCGCAACCCUUGUAUGCUGUUGCUAUGCUUACGCAUAGCUCUCUGCGUAGACUGCCCCGUGAAACGGGGAGGAAGGUGGGAUGACGUCAAGUCAGCAUGGCCCUUACACCCAGGGCUGCACACGUACUACAAUGCUCAGUACAAUUAGAACCUG